rnacentral:rRNA from 1 species
AUGCCUGAACAAAGACUGGUGAUACCUUUCCUUUUUCGCAUAAUUUGGCUAGCUUGCCGCAGUGUGACAAGCCUAACUAAACACAGAGCCAUAAGUGUUAUUACAAGCUUAGUGAAAAGACCGAGGGUACUUGAAGCACAAUUUUCUAAUGUCUUGGAACACACUGUUCGCAUGAUAAUAAACAUUUUUUUUCUGAAACAAAAUGUUCGCAUAAUAGUAACAACUGUAAGUCCAUUAGAAGCAUCAAUUUCUGGUGUGAUUGAACAUAUUACUUGUGAAAAAACAGGCGUGGGAGCGCAACAAUCACCACGAAGAAUUGGAACAAAUCCACUUGGUAUGCAUCACAAAAAAAAAAGAAACACUUGCUAUGAACAACAAUUCUCAGCUCUUUUAUUUAAGGAAAUAUAUAUCUACAACGAGGCAACUUUCUCUUCCGCCCAAUGA